rnacentral:rRNA from 1 species
GUAGGUGGCAAGCGUUGUCCGGAAUUAUUGGGCGUAAAGCGCGCGCAGGCGGUUCUUUAAGUCUGAUGUGAAAGCCCACGGCUCAACCGUGGAGGGUCAUUGGAAACUGGAGAACUUGAGUACAGAAGAGGAAAGCGGAACUCCACGUGUAGCGGUGAAAUGCGUAGAGAUGUGGAGGAACACCAGUGGCGAAGGCGGCUUUCUGGUCUGUAACUGACGCUGAGGCGCGAAAGCGUGGGGAGCAAACAGGAUUAGAUACCCGUGGUAGUCCACGCCGUAAACGAUGAGUGCUAAGUGUUAGGGGGUUUCCGCCCCCCUUAGUGCUGCAGCUAACGCAUUAAGCACUCCGCCUGGGAGUACGGCCGCAAGGCUG